UCCCUCCAGGGUGGCAAUGACCGUGGUCUGGAUCCUGUGGAGUUCUGCUUGGCUCCUGAGACGACACAGCUCCUCCUCCAUGGCCAGACCUUCAGAAUGAAGAACCUGAGAGAGAGGCACAAUAACCCUGGCUGAUGUCAGACUCACGUGUCAGUCCCUCCAUCCAUACCUCUAUCUGCCUGCGGGCCUCUCCCAGACUCUCGGCGGUUUUCUUCAGGCGCUGCAGCUCUGCUUCAUGGACCACCAGCCUCUGCUCAGCCUCCCACGUCUUCUUACUCUGCUCUCCCAGCUUGGAGUGUAGUUCUUGGGCCACUAAUGUCUGCCUGUCAGCUUCCUCCUGGGCCUUCUGGAGCUGUGUUAUUAAAAGCUCCACAUCAGGAGAAGACCUACAGCAAGUUGGCAAAAAUUCUAGAGCCAUGACCUUCAGCCCCCGUGCCCUGACCUCCUGCAGCACUCGAAGCUCCUCUAAUCGCCUCCUCAGCUCCGCGUUCUCCUGCUCUGCUCCCAGCAGCCUCAGUG